GAUGAACGCUGGCGGCGUGCCUAAUACAUGCGAGUCGAGCGAACGGACGAGAAGCUUGCUUCUCUGAUGUUAGCGGCGGACGGGUGAGUAACACGUGGAUAACCUACAUAUAAGACUGGGAUAACUUCGGGAAACCGGAGCUAAUACCGGAUAAUAUUUUGAACCGCAUGGUUCAAAAGUGAAAGACGGUCUUGCUGUCACUUAUAGAUGGAUCCGCGCUGCAUUAGCUAGUUGGUAAGGUAACGGCUUACCAAGGCAACGAUGCAUAGCCGACCUGAGAGGGUGAUCGGCCACACUGGAACUGAGACACGGUCCAGACUCCUACGGGAGGCAGCAGUAGGGAAUCUUCCGCAAUGGGCGAAAGCCUGACGGAGCAACGCCGCGUGAGUGAUGAAGGUCUUCGGAUCGUAAAACUCUGUUAUUAGGGAGGAACAUAUGUGUAAGUAACUGUGCACAUCUUGACGGUACCUACUCAGAAAGCCACGGCUAACUACGUG
rnacentral:rRNA from 1 species